rnacentral:rRNA from 1 species
UUUGUAUAAUGGGUCAGCGACUUAUAUUCAGUGGCAAGGUUAACCAUCUAGGGGAGCCGUAGGGAAACCGAGUCUUAACUGGGCGUUCAGUCUCUGGAUAUAGACCCGAAACCAGGUGAUCUAGCCAUGGGCAGGUUGAAGGUUGAGUAACAUCAACUGGAGGACCGAACCGACUAAUGUUGAAAAAUUAGCGGAUGACUUGUGGCUAGGGGUGAAAGGCCAAUCAAACCUGGAGAUAGCUGGUUCUCCCCGAAAGCUAUUUAGGUAGCGCCUCGGACGAAUACUACUGGGGGUAGAGCACUGUUAAGGCUAGGGGGUCAUCCCGACUUACCAACCCUUUGCAAACUCCGAAUACCAGUAAGUACUAUCCGGGAGACACACGGCGGGUGCUAACGUCCGUCGUGGAGAGGGAAACAACCCAGACCGCCAGCUAAGGUCCCAAAUUACUACUAAGUGGGAAACGAUGUGGGAAGGCUCAGACAGCCAGGAUGUUGGCUUAGAAGCAGCCAUCAUUUAAAGAAAGCGUAAUAGCUCACUGGUCGAGUCGGCCUGCGCGGAAGAUGUAACGGGGCUAAGUAGUAAACCGAAGCUGCGGCAAUGUGCUUUUGCA